AGUGUCCUUUGUUUAAAAAGGAACAGUACUAGUGUGGUUUGUGGGUGUCCCAACUGCCUCUGAGAGCCACCUUUCCCACGGCUCCGCUUGUGGGCAGAGGCCCAGCUACACAUGGCAGAGUGGGAGUGGGAGUUAGCAGUGAGCUGUGCGCAGACUGACUGCAAAGCUCUUUCUAGUUAGCGAACACCUGGGCGACCUCCAGACAUAGUAGAGCCUAAUGGCACUAAAGUCAAGAACUUUGAUGUCAGUGACUUCCCAGGGUUUCCUCUCCUCCUGCAGUUGAGUACACCUGGGGGCCUCCAGGAAGACCUCUGCAGUGGUCACUCAGCACAGGGUACCAGGGCUCUAGGAAUCAGGAAGUCUUUUCCUGAACCUGGGUUUUGCAUAGUGGGGAGGACUGAUGUGUACUGUGUGCCUGCUUCUGCGCAGGCUCUCUGCUCUGUGCAGGCCUCCCCAUACAGUGAAGGAUAGUGAAACCACCCCUAGAUACCAGGGUCACACGACGCAAACAGCAGAGCCCAUACGAAGGUCGGUGCUCAUGCGGUGCUGAACUAGGGAAUGUGAAGUGUUACUACAUACAAUUUACAGGUGUUGUUUGGAAACACGAAAUCACCUCUGGGGAGCCAAAAUCAAAGACUUUUCCUCUUCCUUCUCCCCACUCCUUUAAAACACAUCCAUUCAACCAUAAUACUAUGAAAUGUGAAUGAAUAAAAUCAUGGUCAGUAGUUGUCUCUGUGAGGCUGCUGGCAUUGCUUUGCUUAUUCACAAAGUCAUCCAUUUUGAGCCUACAAAGAUCUGUUUUUUAAAAAAUCAUAGAACUUGAGAAUAAUUUCAUAUACCAAAAGAGAAAACCAACAUUCUGUAAGUCACACCAUUCUAGUUUACAUGUAAACAACAUGUAUAAAACUAAACAUAAACUGUCUUACACAAAAUACAGUUAUAUAAUUAACACUUUUUCUUGAGCUGUAGUCAUUUAGUCCAAAAACAUGAGGUUGAAAAGGAAAAAUACAAAGAAAUACAAACCAGGGAAAAGGUCAGUAGGAUACAUUAUAAAGCAUAAUCAGCUCUUACCUGCUUUUAAAAAUGCUUUUGCCUGCACAGAUUUCAUUGUCACUGGCAUGACCAGGAAGAAGCAAGUCUUUCCAGAUUCUCUGUCUUCCUGUUUCAGUCCAGGGCCCUCCUCGGGGGACUGUCUGGACCUAGAACGAAGGCUUCUGCAAGCAUCCAUGGUUAUUACUAAAGUGAGAGUGUCUUCCUCAGGGGAGCCUUGGCCAAAAAUAGAUUAUUCUGAGGAACUUGCUUCCCUUAAGCAUUGACUUUUCAAAGUUUUGCCCUUAAAUUAUUUUUCUUAACUUAGUCCCCCAUUUCCAGACCUGACUGUGCAUCAGAAUAGGAAGAGCGUCCAGAAACACAGCCCAAGUGGGGCAUGUUGAGUUUUAAUAAGUCCCUGGGUGGUUCUGAUGCUGCAAGGCUGUGCCCUCCUUUGGGCUCCAAAGCACUGCUUGCUCUUAGCCAUUUUCCUGGCUGCACCUUCCACCAGACAAGUUCUCCACCUUUGUUUGAUGGCUUGUCUUGAAGAUGAGAAUAUGGGCAUACCAGAGUUUCCUAACCAUAGCUGGGGCACUGCUCCCUCGCUUGCCUUCCAUUACCCAGUCCCUGACCAAGCAGACGUGCCUGUGGCCCCGACUAUACCAGGGUUGCCUUGUGCUUUGGAGCAGGUUGAUGUUUGUUACUGUUUUUCUUAGAAAGUUGUAGCUUUCUCCAAACUCUGUUGCACAACCGCUUAGCAGAACAUCUAUCUCACCUCACUGAAAUGGUAACAACAGGAUGCUCAGGUGUAGUAAAAAUAAACUUGGCACAUUUAACAACAUGUUGCGGGACCCAGGAUGACAUCUUCUGGCCUAGAAUACGGUUACUCAGCCUUGGCACUGUUGACAUUUAGGACCAGGGAAUUCUUGGUUGGGGGACGGACAUUGCAGGGUACUCAGCAGUGUCCUUGCUCCGCCUGCCAGAUGCCAGUAGGCCCCACACACAGCUGUACCACCAAAGACGUCUCCAGUCGAGAACACCGACCUGAGGAUGCUCCACACAGUUACUCCAAGUGGCCAGCAGGUCCCUCCCAAGCACUUUCACGUUAGUUCUUGCCUCUCACCUACUCGUCAGUCUGCCUGGACCCCAUCCUCUUGACUAGUUUGAUACUGAGUCAGGUGAUUCCCCCACAUCUUCUUAUCUCUUGCUGCCAGUCAGCUCUGGCACCUGCCAUCUGCCCAGAUGCCCAGAGCCCGUCCCUGUUGCUGGUCACCUUUCCCUGGUCACCACAGCCAGUGAAUGGGGUGAAUUCCUUCUCCCCAGCAGCCUCCCUCAUUCCUCACUCAGCAGAUGACUGCACACCAGCUUCACAGAGAAAACAGUGGCUGACAACAGGUUCUUGCAUGGCACCAAGAGGCUGCAGAGCUGUGAGAACAACUCACCUUCAGUGUAGACCCGCCACCCCAGCCGGUGUUCUGAUCACCGUCUGGGUUGUGCGUGGCGGGGGUGUAAGACGAGAGGACGCGGUGUUUCAGUAUUGCCGGUUUGCCUCCUUUUGUGUUCCGUUACAUUCCCCGCUCUGUACCCCCGUGCUUCUCACAGGAAUAAAGGAUGUUUCUGUGGGCGCUCUGAUGCGCUUGGC